AUUGAACGCUGGCGGCAUGCCUUACACAUGCAAGUCGAACGGCAGCACGGGGCAACCUGGUGGCGAGUGGCGAACGGGUGAGUAAUGCAUCGGAACGUACCUUUCAGUGGGGGAUAACGUAGCGAAAGUUACGCUAAUACCGCAUAUUCUGUGAGCAGGAAAGCAGGGGAUCGCAAGACCUUGCGCUGAUUGAGCGGCCGAUGUCAGAUUAGCUAGUUGGUGAGGUAAAGGCUCACCAAGGCGACGAUCUGUAGCGGGUCUGAGAGGAUGAUCCGACACACUGGAACUGAGACACGGUACAGACUCCUGCGGGAGGCAGCAGUGGGGAAUUUUGGACAAUGGGGGCAACCCUGAUCCAGCCAUGCCGCGUGAGUGAAGAAGGCCUUCGGGUUGUAAAGCUCUUUCGGCCGGGAAGAAAUCGCACGGGCUAAUACCCUGUGUGGAUGACGGUACCGGAAUAAGAAGCACCGGCUAACUACGUGCCAGCCGCCGCCGUAAGAC
rnacentral:rRNA from 1 species